UCAUUGCUCUGUGAUACAAAACGUAGCUUAGGUGUGCUUUAGGACCGUGUAGACGCCUCAGAGCGGUCAGGUAGGCAAUUUUCCGGUUUGAGCUGGAUUUAGGACCACACAGACACCACAGAGCUUGCGGACAGACUGUGUGAAGGCUAAACUUCUGAACAGAAGCAGCUGCUGUCUAUGUUGCGCUUUUUACAAGCAAGGAGAGCAGAAACGGGCUACUCUUUAGUUGACUGAUCUAGCUGGCAAGCAGGAUCAGAUGAUGACAGGUGUCCCAGCAGGGUCAGACAGCCAGGGAAGACCAGUCUACAGAGCUCAGUAUUUCUGAGCACAUCUGAGCGAAGAUGGUGACAGGUCUCAUCAGAGUCAAGCAGCCAGGGAAGUCUGGGAUGGAGCUGAGACCCUCUAUCCAGUGGACAACACUGUCAUCCCAGUCUCCUGGGAGCAGCAGUAAGAGGUAGCCCACCCCGAUGAUAGCUGCUGCAGCCAUUCUGACCUGGCUGAGCUGGGGGGCUGCAGCGACAUAGAAAUCCACUGCUGCAGAGAGAUACAGUAGGGGGUCAGGUAUAGUGGAAUGCUGUUUGAGAUUCCCACAAUGACUUCAGGAAAACUUGUAUGAAGAUCUCUCAUGACACCGUUGUUUAUCUUGAUUUGUCAUUUGGAGUUUUAUAAGCAGAUAAAUAUCAUUGUUCUUUCUGUACCUGAAUUAGCUGGGAUGCUCAGUAACAUUCCAAGAGAAAUAAGGGAGGGGUAGGCAAGCACACUUCCUAGAUUCACCAAGACAUUGAAAGCUGAUGGUGAGAGAGGAGGGACAAGAGUGAAGGAAAUGUUAAAAACAGAGUUAUUCAAAUGUACUAAUUUAAUAUCUGGAUGUGUAGGCCGUCAUUGAAAAUAUAAACUUGUUCUUAACUGACUUGCCUAGUUAAAUAAAUUUAAAAAAGAGAAUAUCUGUACAUAAAUUAGCAGGGGAGUGUUACCGAGGAGCAGGGAGGCCAUCACGCACAAUGCGUCCCAGGGGAUGUACUGGAUUGGAGGCCAGUACUCCACAUGUGUGAGGUAGAGUAUCACACACACCCAGGAGUGGAGGACACAGCAGCAUAGCCCCACACAGGACAGCAGGACACUGGCCGUACCCGGCUGCACCUCUCCCACUCGUUUUCUAAACAACACCUUGAAGAAAAGAAACGUACGUAAAUACUUUGUGCUUAUGUCUGCCCACCACAACAGUUACGAUUUUGAUUUAGGAAGGAGACCUAAAGACGAACUCCAGCUAUUUUUAAAAGUUUUCUGUUGAAAAACAAUAUCCCACGUAUACAGUUGAAGUCGGAAGUUUACAUACACCUUAGCCAAAUACAUUUAAACUCAGUUUUUCACAAUU